AUGAACGCUAGCUACAGGCUUAACACAUGCAAGUCGAGGGGCAGCAUUUUAGUUUGCUUGCAAACUGAAGAUGGCGACCGGCGCACGGGUGAGUAACACGUAUCCAACCUGCCGAUAACUCCGGAAUAGCCUUUCGAAAGAAAGAUUAAUACCGGAUAGCAUACGAAUAUCGCAUGAUAUUUUUAUUAAAGAAUUUCGGUUAUCGAUGGGGAUGCGUUCCAUUAGUUUGUUGGCGGGGUAACGGCCCACCAAGACUACGAUGGAUAGGGGUUCUGAGAGGAAGGUCCCCCACAUUGGAACUGAGACACGGUCCAAACUCCUACGGGAGGCAGCAGUGAGGAAUAUUGGUCAAUGGGCGAGAGCCUGAACCAGCCAAGUAGCGUGAAGGAUGAAGGCUCUAUGGGUCGUAAACUUCUUUUAUAUGGGAAUAAAGUUUUCCACGUGUGGAAUUUUGUAUGUACCAUAUGAAUAAGGAUCGGCUAACUCCGUGCCAGCAGCCGCGGUAAUACGGAGGAUCCGAGCGUUAUCCGGAUUUAUUGGGUUUAAAGGGAGCGUAGGUGGAUUGUUAAGUCAGUUGUGAAAGUUUGCGGCUCAACCGUAAAAUUGCAGUUGAAACUGGCAGUCUUGAGUACAGUAGAGGUGGGCGGAAUUCGUGGUGUAGCGGUGAAAUGCUUAGAUAUCACGAAGAACUCCGAUUGCGAAGGCAGCUCACUAGACUGUCACUGACACUGAUGCUCGAAAGUGUGGGUAUCAAACAGGAUUAGAUACCCUGGUAGUCCACACAGUAAACGAUGAAUACUCGCUGUUUGCGAUAUACAGUAAGCGGCCAAGCGAAAGCAUUAAGUAUUCCACCUGGGGAGUACGCCGGCAACGGUGAAACUCAAAGGAAUUGACGGGGGCCCGCACAAGCGGAGGAACAUGUGGUUUAAUUCGAUGAUACGCGAGGAACCUUACCCGGGCUUGAAAGUUAGCGACGGAUCCUGAAAGGGGUCUUCUCUUCGGAGCGCGAAACUAGGUGCUGCAUGGUUGUCGUCAGCUCGUGCCGUGAGGUGUCGGCUUAAGUGCCAUAACGAGCGCAACCCUUAUCUUUAGUUACUAACAGGUCAUGCUGAGGACUCUAGAGAGACUGCCGUCGUAAGAUGUGAGGAAGGUGGGGAUGACGUCAAAUCAGCACGGCCCUUACGUCCGGGGCUACACACGUGUUACAAUGGGGGGUACAGAAGGCGGCUACCUGGUGACAGGAUGCUAAUCCCAAAAACCUCUCUCAGUUCGGAUCGAAGUCUGCAACCCGACUUCGUGAAGCUGGAUUCGCUAGUAAUCGCGCAUCAGCCAUGGCGCGGUGAAUACGUUCCCGGGCCUUGUACACACCGCCCGUCAAGCCAUGAAAGCCGGGGGUACCUGAAGUACGUAACCGCAAGGAGCGUCCUAGGGUAAAACUGGUAAUUGGGGCU
rnacentral:rRNA from 1 species